UGUAUCUGAAGUCUGACGAGGAUGAGAACCUCCGGGGGCAAGAUGUUCGACUCGAGCGAAGCGAGAGAACGUUGCGUCAGCAACGGCCCGCAGGGCGAGCCACGCAGUGGCGAGUCAUCCUCUAUCACCGACCA
rnacentral:sRNA from 2 species